rnacentral:rRNA from 1 species
AGUGAACGCUGGCGGUAGGCCUAACACAUGCAAGUCGAACGGCAGCACAGUAAGAGCUUGCUCUUACGGGUGGCGAGUGGCGGACGGGUGAGGAAUACAUCGGAAUCUACUUUUUCGUGGGGGAUAACGUAGGGAAACUUACGCUAAUACCGCAUACGACCUACGGGUGAAAGCAGGGGAUCUUCGGACCUUGCGCGAUUGAAUGAGCCGAUGUCGGAUUAGCUAGUUGGCGGGGUAAAGGCCCACCAAGGCGACGAUCCGUAGCUGGUCUGAGAGGAUGAUCAGCCGCACUGGAACGUAGACACGGUCCAGACUCCUGCGAGAGGCAGCAGUGGGGAAUAUUGGACAAUGGUCGCAAGCCUGAUCCAGCCAUACCGCGUGGGUGAAGAAGGCCUUCGGGUUGUAAAGCCCUUUUGUUGGGAAAGAAAAGCAGCAGGUUAAUACCCCGCUGUUCUGACGGUACCCAAAGAAUAAGCACCGGCUAACUUCGUG